rnacentral:rRNA from 1 species
UCCCAUAACAUAAGUUAGUAAGACCCCUUGAAGACGACGAGGUUGAUAGGGCAGAGGUGGAAGUACGGUAACGUAUGGAGCUGACUGCUACUAAUAGGUCGAGGGCUUGAUCUG